rnacentral:rRNA from 1 species
AGCAGCCGCGGUAAUUCCAGCUCCAAUAGCGUAUAUUAAAGUUGUUGCAGUUAAAAAGCUCGUAGUUGAAUUUCGGGAUUGACACAUCGGUCGUGCCUUAAGGGGUAUGAACUGGUGUAGUCAAUUUCUCACCUUCUGGAGAACCGCGAUGCCCUUAAUUGGGUGUCGCGGGGAACCAGGACCUUUACUUUGAAAAAAUUAGAGUGUUUAAAGCAGGCAUUUUGCUUGAAUACAUUAGCAUGGAAUAAUAAAAUAGGACGGCAUGAUUCUAUUUUGUUGGUUUCUAGGAUCACCGUAAUGAUUAAUAGGGAUAGUUGGGGGCAUUAGUACUCAAUUGUCAGAGGUGAAAUUCUUGGAUUUAUGAAGACUAACUACUGCGAAAGCAUUUGCCAAGGAUGUUUUCAUUAAUCAAGAACGAAAGUUGGGGGCUCGGAAGACGAUCAGAUACCGCCUAGUCUCAACCAUAAACGAUGCCGACCAGGGAUCGAGUGGAUGUUGCUUUUAGGACUCCACUUGGCAC